rnacentral:rRNA from 1 species
UACGGAGGGGGCUAGCGUUGUUCGGAAUCACUGGGCGUAAAGGGUGCGUAGGCGGGUUUUUAAGUCAGGGGUGAAAUCCUGGAGCUCAACUCCAGAACUGCCUUUGAUACUGAAGAUCUUGAGUUCGGGAGAGGUGAGUGGAACUGCGAGUGUAGAGGUGAAAUUCGUAGAUAUUCGCAAGAACACCAGUGGCGAAGGCGGCUCACUGGCCCGAUACUGACGCUGAGGCACGAAAGCGUGGGGAGCAAACAGG